AUGAUCUGGUCCACAUCAAUUCCCCUCUCGGUCCGCAAGACUCCCACAUCGGCGCUCCUCCCACUGUUGGAAAAACUUACCAAGAAACUCGCCACCUGGAAAGCCUCGCUUCUCUCACGCACCGAGCGACUCGCCCUCGUGCGGCAUGUCCUGUCUGCUAUACCUGUCCAAAUUCUCCUCUUCAUGGUCAUCAACCCAAUGAUCCUCAAGAAAAUCACCCAGAUCAUUCGUGACUUCCUAUUGCAUGCUAGGAAGGAUGCCAAGUCCGGCUGUUGCCUUGUUAAUUGGAGGCGCGUAUGUCGCCCGCUGGAGUAUGGUGGGCUUGGCGUGCGCGAUCUCCACCUCACCAGUAUCUCCUUGCAUGCCCGAUGGCUGUGGCUGCAGACCACUGACCCCUCCCUCCCUUGGCACCAUCUUGAGGUGCCUUGUGAUGAUGAGACCAGGCAGUUCUUCCGUGCGUCGACCACUUGGACCCUCGGCGACGACAAAACUUGUCGUUUCUGGUGCAACCAUUGGCUCGACGGGAGGGCCAUUUGA
rnacentral:rRNA from 1 species